AGGAGGAAUGGAAUUGAGAGGGAGGAGGGGACCCGUCCCUCCCUCCACAAAAGAGAGGGGGCUGGGACGCGCGCAGGGUAAAAGGGAGAGAAGGAAUAGGACCGAGACCCACGCAAGGACAAAGGAAAAGGGAUUUGAAUGAGUGUGUUUAGACAUAAUGGGGGUGCAUAAAGCAACUUGGGGUGUGCUCGUAACCUGAACCAAGAGAAAUAUCUCCACCAGUGCAUGUGCUUGUAAUACUCUUCUGUCUAUUACUGAU
rnacentral:lncRNA from 1 species